UUCUUAGUCCAUUCGUGUUGA
ensembl:piRNA 21ur-6035 ncRNA